rnacentral:rRNA from 1 species
CUGGCGGCGUGCCUAACACAUGCAAGUCGAACGGACUGAUCCCUUCGGGGAUGAAAGUUAGUGGCGGACGGGUGAGUAACGCGUGAGUAACCUGCCUUCAGAGGGGGAUAACGUUUGGAAACGAACGCUAAUACCGCAUAACAUAUCGAAGUCGCAUGGCUUUGAUAUCAAAGGAGCAAUCCGCUGAAAGAUGGACUCGCGUCUGAUUAGAUAGUUGGCGGGGUAACGGCCCACCAAGUCGACGAUCAGUAGCCGGACUGAGAGGUUGAACGGCCACAUUGGGACUGAGACACGGCCCAGACUCCUACGGGAGGCAGCAGUGAGGGAUAUUGCACAAUGGGCGCAAGCCUGAUGCAGACCAACGCCGCGUGAAGGAUGACGGUUUUCGGAUUGUAAACUUCUGUUCUCGGUGAUGAUAAUGACAUUAGCUGAGGAGAAAGCCACGGCUAACUACGUGCCAGCCGCGGC